rnacentral:rRNA from 1 species
UACAGAGGGUGCGAGCGUUAAUCGGAAUUACUGGGCGUAAAGCGCACGUAGGCGGCUUUGCAAGUCGGAUGUGAAAUCCCCGGGCUUAACCUGGGAACUGCAUUCGAGACUGCAUUGCUUGAGUAUGGGAGAGGGAGGCGGAAUUUCAGGUGUAGCGGUGAAAUGCGUAGAUAUCUGAAGGAACAUCAGUGGCGAAAGCGGCCUCCUGGACCAAUACUGACGCUCAUGUGCGAAAGCGUGGGGAGCAAACAGGAUUAGAAACCCCUGUAGUCC